UUAUGGGAUAGAGUUUCUAUGGCUUUUUUUUACCCAUUCUUUCAUCAUCAUCAUCUUCAUCCUCUCUCUCUCUCUUUGUAGAGAGAGAAGAGGAGAGAGAAGAGGAGAGAGAGAGAGAAGUGGAAGUGUUGUAAGUUCAGGUCGAAGCCAUGCUUUUCCACAGCUUUCUUGAACUUUCUUCUCUCAAUCAUUUGCAUGCAAAUCUCUCUUAGAAAGUUGAAGAAAGCUGUGGGAGAAGAUGGCAUUUUUAGGCCUUUUCAUACCCUUUCUUGGUUUGGUCGAUCAAGAGCGGACCAAGGUGUCUUUAAAAUUUGAAUGGCGAGGUUGUUCUCUUCCCUUCAUUACAUUACCCUAUUGGUUGGUAUUUGUUUGGAUGCAGAUUUCCAUGUCCUACAUUUCUGUGAAAAAGGUUAAAAUUUGACCCAAUUUUUACAUCAUUUUUUUAACCA